UUUUUUCCCUGUUUCAGACUGAAGACUUCCAACGAGAAAACUGAAAACCCCAAAACCCCAAGCUCCUACCGUUCUCUCUCUCCCUCCCUGUUCUUCUCUUUCUCUCUUUCUUUCCUUCUCUCUCAGUCAGAUUAGAUGAAAUAGACGAAUCCAGCUCUGAAUUCUCUAUCUCGCUCUGUUUUCGCAGAUUGGUUGGCUGGCACUAAGAAAAUUCGUUGCUAGCUUGUGAUUCGUGAAGCACUGGCUCAGGCAGUUCUGGACCAACGAUUAGAAGAUAAUGUAAGCAUUGUCAUUGCUGAUUUAGGGCAGACGGAUUGGCAAAGUUUGCCACUUCAGGAUUUAUGAGGGAUGCAUCUCAAGGAUUGACCAUUCAUUCCUGGUCUAUUAAAGUCUGCCCAGAAAAUCUAUUCUCAUUCACCAAAAUGAGUUGAUCGAGUUCAUUAAUCGGACUGAUCUUGUUAUAUCUCCUCACUGAUUGGAAAGAAUAUCUUAGUAUCAAGAUGCAUCAGUGUUAAGCCCAGUAGGAGAACUGAAAGAAACAAUUAUAAUAUCCAAAAAUAUAUGCAUUGUUUGGAUGAAAGAUUUAUACAACAUGGAGACAUAAAGUGAUUGGCAGCUCAACCAUUUCAAGCGUCUUGAGACAUAAAGUGAUUUGCAGCUCAAUCAUUUCAAACAGCAAAAAGAAAUGUUAGAUUGAAUAGGCAGUAGGACUUAAGAUGUUGAAUACAUUCAAAUUAUUUUGUACAAUUGCAAGUUAUUUAAAAAUUGCACAAUAAGCAUUGUAUUUAAUUAGUGAAUUCUGAUUUUACUUUAGUGUACUCUCUUUUGCAAUAUGCCAUGUGAUAUUUGUAAUGUGAGUUCACAAUAAUAAA